rnacentral:lncRNA from 1 species
CUUCUUAAAGCUCUAGCCAGUGGGAAAGCGUUUGUGUUUCUAUCCUUGGAGCUCCAAGUGGGACUUCUUAAAAGAUUUAGAAGGAGCAAAGCUGUCAGGAAAUCAGAAACGUCACAUGGACUCCAUGACUGGGAAAAACCUCGUGGUGGCCUGCUCUCAGUGCUUGGAUGUGUGCUAGUUACAUCUCGGAGUAUACCCUUUAAGCGUUCCAGAAGGAUUUUGAGAUCCUUUCCUAAAUCAAAGGUGGAAUAUUUGGGGAUUUGGAAAAUUGAGAUGUGAAGCGUUGACUUAAGAGAUGCCAAGUAACUCAGCAGAUGUCACACAGACGAUAAAUAGCAAAGAUGGAAGUCUUCAUGCCGGAGGCAAUCCUAUAAGACAGCUGAGUUCUGCAGAGCUGGUAGGAGACAGACUUGCUCAGGUGAUAGAUCCAGCCAUGAUACUGACCCUAAGAGAAUGAGACGCUCUGCAGAAGACAGAAGAUUCCUGAAACUGGGAAAGGUGCCUAGAAAUCCUGAUAAGAGUGAAGAAGGGUACCUGGAGGCACAGCAGCCAUGUUGAACCUAUGAGGUGAUGAAAAACCAUGCAACUAGAAACCAGAAUGGAAGAAAAGAAGAAGCUGGAUCCUUGACUGAAUUGUCGAUGGGGGAUAGUCCAUCAUCCCAGGGCUAAGACCACCUCCAGAUUUCUUGUUUGGUGAAACAAGUCCUGAUUGUUUACAUUCCCUCGUGUUGAGCUGUCUCUUGCUUGUAGCUGAAAGCAUUUCUAAUAGAUAUUCAGAUUAUCAGCCUUAGCUCCAAGCUAGAAUACUCUAUGGGACCUUAGCUUCUCCAUGAAUUCCUUUGCUCAUCUGUGUAAUGCUCAAUAAAUGUAAAUUGAACCCUGAAUGAGGGACAAUGACA